GCCCUAGCUCUGGUUGAUGAGUGCACACGCUCUUCCGGGAGAAGUGCCUAUACCAGGAAUUCUGCCCUUUAUGAUGUCAUACAAGGCCGUACUCAACAACAACAACAAAAAAAUUCUUCAACUUAUACAAACCCUGAAGGAGUGUAUUUGGCACAGAAAUACUCUGUCAUACGUCCAACAAGUUUUUGUUUUUUUUUUUCUUUUUUUUUUGGCCAUGUUUAUCACAAGAAUCCAGCUCUUUAACAGUUAUGUUCACUAGGAUUUAACCAUAUGGCUGUGUGUUAAAAUGACAAUCUCUGACGUUCAGAGCAGCGCAUGGUAAAUUGAUUUUCUUCUUUUCCUUUUCUUAGUAGAGAAGGCUCAUCAGAAAUGAGAAUGACAUAAGCCCCGUAUAUGACAUGUGCCACCCACUGUAAGGUGUUGUGUGGACACAUUGGGUGAACGUGGUGUCUAUUUUAAUCCAAACAGUGGGCGAUCUUCAUGCUAUCAACUGCUAUAGUGGCAUCCCAUCUGGUCAUAUGUUCUAAGCACGGAACUUGUCGACAUGGUUAACACAAGCUCAGCGGCUACUAACAGAUGGGUACUCUGCAAUCUGCGAGUCACAUACUAGCCAUACUUGCUUUCUUAGUUAAUUAAGAAUGGCUAAUAGCAUGACUAGUUAUGUUUCUAAACCUAGCUGACUCUAUGCUAUUUCAUUCAGCAUUAUUUUAGUAUUAUUUGUAUACAAUUAUAGUAUUUAUAAGUAUUUUGAAUUAGCUUUUUUUAAUUAGGUAAACCUGAACUGGGAAAACUUCCCUUAACACCUGAUGUACUUGCAACAUCAUUAGAAGAAUGGCAUUGACGCUAAUAUUAGUCUGUUUCUCUCUUAUUCCGAGGUCACUGUAGCCACCAGAUCCAGUCUGUAUCCAAGUCAGAGGGUCACUGCAGUCACCUGGAUCCAGUACAUAUCCAGCCCAGAUGGUGGAUCAGCACCUAGAAAGGACCUCUACAGCCCUGAAAGACAGCGGAGACCAGGACAACUAGAGCCCCGGAGACAGAUCCCCUGUAAAGACCUUGUCUCAGAUGACUACCGGGACAAGACCACAGAAACAGAUGAUUCUUCUGCACAAUCUGACUUUGCUGCAGCCUGGUAUUGAACUGCUGGUUUCGUCUGGCCAGAGGAGAACUGGCCCCCCAACUGAGCCUGGUUUCUCCCAAGGUUUUUUCUCCAUUCUGUCACUGAUGGAGUUUUGGUUCCUUGCUGCUGUCGCCUCUGGCUUGCUAGUUGGGUACACUUCAUUUACAGCGAUAUCGUUGACUUGAUUGCAAAUUAUUGCACAGAUACUAUUUAAACUGAACUGAGCUGCAUGAUGACAUCACUGAAUUCAAUGAUGAACUGCCUUUAACUGUCAUUUUGCAUUAUUGGCACACUUUUUUCCUAAUUAUUGUUGUUCAGUUGCUUUGACGCCAUCUUUUCUGUUUAAAGCACUAUAUAAAUAAAGGUGACUUGACUUGACUUAAUUUUUUGUUUUCAGUUUUCAUUUUAAUUUUACUGUAAGUUUUAGUAAUUGUAUUUUCCAGUCAUUUUUACCAUUUAAAAUAUUUUUACUGUUUUAAAUAUUUUUAAUUAGUUUGAACUUUUUUCAGUUUUAGUUUUUCAUACUUGAAACCUUGUACCAGAAUUACUGCCAAUAUAGAACGUUUUCA
rnacentral:lncRNA from 12 species